rnacentral:rRNA from 1 species
ACAGUGGACGCGAGCAUCUGUGGCCAAGUUUUUAAGGGCGCACGGUGGAUGCCUUGGCACC